CCUACGGGAGGCAGCAGUGGGGAAUUUUGGACAAUGGGCGCAAGCCUGAUCCAGCCAUGCCGCGUGCAGGAUGAAGGCCUUCGGGUUGUAAACUGCUUUUGUACGGAACGAAAAAGCCUUCUUUAAUAAAGGGGGUGAAUGACGGUACCGUAAGAAUAAGCACCGGCUAACUACGUGCCAGCAGCCGCGGUAAUACGUAGGGUGCAAGCGUUAAUCGGAAUUACUGGGCGUAAAGCGUGCGCAGGCGGUUAUGUAAGACAGAGGUGAAAUCCCCGGGCUCAACCUGGGAACUGCCUUUGUGACUGCAUAGCUGGAGUGCGGCAGAGGGGGAUGGAAUUCCGCGUGUAGCAGUGAAAUGCGUAGAUAUGCGGAGGAACACCGAUGGCGAAGGCAAUCCCCUGGGCCUGCACUGACGCUCAUGCACGAAAGCGUGGGGAGCAAACAGGAUUAGAUACCCUGGUAGUCCACGCCCUAAACGAUGUCAACUGGUUGUUGGGUCUUCACUGACUCAGUAACGAAGCUAACGCGUGAAGUUGACCGCCUGGGGAGUACGGCCGCAAGGUUAAAACUCAAAUGAAUUGACGG
rnacentral:rRNA from 1 species